UAUGACUCUCGGCAAAGGAUUUCUUGGCUCUUGCAUCGAUGAAGAGCGCAGCGAAAUGCGAUACGUGGUGGGAAUUGGAAAAUCCCGUGAACCAUCGAGUUUUUGAACGCAAGUUGCGCCCGAGGCCAAUUGGCUAAGGGCACGUCCGCCUGGGCGUCAAGCAUU
rnacentral:rRNA from 1 species